rnacentral:lncRNA from 1 species
UCCAGACUGUUGGUGGUGGCACAUACCAAGAGAGGGUAUGGGAACUGGAUGGCAGUGGUCCCUCAGUACAGGACAAAAACCAUUCCAUCAUCUUCUGCGACCAAAGACUCAGCAACCCCAGCCUUUGUAGCAUUGAAGAAGAGCACAGCACUGUGUGCUCAUAAGUUGACUUAUGUCAACUUUGUGAACAAAGUCUAUCAGCAGAAUUAUGUCCCAACAGUGUUUGAGAAUUAGACGGCCAAUUUUGAAACUGACAUACAAAGAAUAGAGUGGAGUCUGUGGCACACUUCGGGUAAGAGUGUCAUGGGACCUUGCGGUGCUUGGGGCAGCUUUCCAGCAGCACGGGGGGCCGGAGGGGGGGGCGGCUGAUGCGUGGCAUGCCUCAAGCACCCAACAGCGCACCAACAGCGCACCACCAGCACACUCUGUGACCCUGGUUUA